UACGGGGGUGGCAAGCGUUGUUCGGAAUUACUGGGCGUAAAGGGCGCGUAGGCGGGGAGGUAAGUCGGGUGUGAAAUCCCUCGGCUCAACCGAGGAACUGCGCCCGAGACUGCCUUUCUUGAGUCCCGGAGAGGAAGGUGGAAUUCCCGGUGUAGCGGUGAAAUGUGUAGAGAUCGGGAGGAACACCGGUGGCGAAGGCGGCCUUCUGGACGGUGACUGACGCUGAGGCGCGAAAGCGUGGGGAGCAAACAGG
rnacentral:rRNA from 1 species